rnacentral:rRNA from 1 species
UAAAAAAAUAAUAAAAGCAUUAAGUGGAUGCCUUGGCAUUAAUUUGAUUUUUAGGACGUAAAAAAUGCGAAAAGCUAUAUUAAAUUAUAUUUUAUUUUGAAAUAUAGAUUUCCUAAAGAAAACUUUUUCUUUGUGAAAAUUUAAAAAGCAGUGAAUUGAAAUAUCUAAGUAACUGUUAAAAAAAUCAAACGAGAUUCCGUGAGUAAUGACGAAUGAAAAUGGAAAUUAGGUUUAUAAAAAUAAAAAAAAUUAUUUGAAAAAUUUUGAAAAAUUUACUUAAAAAGGUGAAAGUCCUGUAGAAUAAUAAUUAUUAUUAUAAUAGUAAAAAGAGGUAUGUGUAAUCUUUUUUGAAUAUUGGGGAACCACCCUCAAAACCUAUUAAAAAUUAAUGAUCGAUAGUGAAUAAGUACUGUAAAGGAAAGGUGAAAAAGAACUUUUGAGUUUGAAAUAAUUCUGAAACUUAAUGUUAACAAUCAAUUGGAACUUUUUUAAAAAGUGACAGUGUACCUUUUGCAUAAUGGGCCAGCAAGUUUAUUUUUAUAGCAAGCUUAAUUUAAUAAAAUAGGCGUAGAUAAUUCAAGUUUUAAAAAGCUUUUUAGUUAUAUAAAUAAGACCCGAAACUGAGUGAUCUAACCAUGAACAGAUUGAAAAAUAGGUAAAACUAUUUGGAGGAUCGAACUCACAUAUGUGGCAAAAUAUGGAGAUGAUUUGUGGUUAGGAGUGAAAGGCUAAUCAAACUCAGAGAUAGCUGGUUUUCCGCGAAAUCUAUUGAAGUAGAGCAUUUAAAAUCUUUUUUUGGGGUAGAGCACUCAUUGAGCUAGGGGGCGUAAAAACUUACUGAAUUCUUAGAAACUCCGAAUACAAAAAAACGUUAUUUAAAUAGACAGACAUUAGGCGCUAAGGUCUUUUGUCAAGAGGGAAACAGCCCAGAUUGAUCGCUAAGGUCUCUAAAUAAUAUUCUAAGUGAAAAAGGAAGUGAAAAAAUUAUUACAACCAGUAGGUAGGCUUGGAAGCAGCCAUCCUUUAAAGAAAGCGUAAUAGCUCAUUGGUCUAGUUUUUUUGCACCUAAAAUGUAUCGAGACUUAAGAAAUUUACCGAAGCGGCAAGUUUUAUUAUUAAAUAAAACGGUAGCGGAACAUUCUGUAUGUUAAUAAAGAUAUAUUGUGAAAUAUGUUGAAGAUAUCAGAAAAGAAAAUGCUGGCAUUAGUAACAAAAAAUAACGCAUAUGAAUCGUUAUCACCGUAAAUCCAAGGGUUUCUAUGUUAAAAUGUAUUGCAUAGAGUGAAACGGCCCCUAAGAAAGAUUUGACGAAAGCAAAUUUUGAUGGGAUAAUUUUUAAAUUAAAUUUUUUUUAAAAAGUGACAAAAAUUUUUUAAUUUUUCAGGAAAUAGCUUUUUUAAUAAAAAACCGUACCCUAAACCGACACAGGUGGAUAGGUCGAGUAGACUAAGGUGAAUGAGAGAACUAUAUUGAAGGAACUCGGCAAAAUGACUUUGUAACUUCGGGAUAAAAAGUACCUAAUUAUUAAAAAUAAAAACUAAUUUUAAUAAUUUUUUAUCGGAAAUAAUUAGGUGUCACAAAAUAGGGGGUUGCGACUGUUUAAUAAAAACUUAGGACUCUGCUAAAUGGUAACAUGAUGUAUAGGGUCUGACACCUGCCCGGUGCUGGAAGAUUAAAAGGAGAUGUUUGCGCAUUAAAUGGAAGUCCCAGUAAACGGCGGCCGUAACUCUGACGGUCCUAAGGUAGCGAAAUUCCUUGUCGGGUAAGUUCCGACCUGCAUGAAUGGUGUAACGACAUCCCCGCUGUCUCCAAUAUAGACUCAGUGAAUUUGAAUUAUCCGUGAAGAUGCGGAUUUUCUAUAGUUAGACGGAAAGACCCCGUGAACCUUUACUACAUCUUUAUAUUGUUAUUUUAUCUAAUAUGUGUAGCAUAAGUGGUAAUUGUUUAGACCUUUACGCUAGUAAAUUGUUUAGAUAUCCUUGAAAUACCACUCUUAUUAAAAUAAAUAACUAAUAUUUUACUAAAUAGACAGUGUAUGGUUGGUAGUUUGACUGGGGCGGUCACCUCCUAAAGAGUAACGGAGGUGUACAAAGGUAAGCUCAAAUUGGAUAAUAGUAUCAAUUGUAGAGCAUAAUGGUAAAAGCUUGCUUGACUGUAAGAUAGACAUAUCAAACAGGGACGAAAGUCGGUCAUAGUGAUCCGAUAAUUCUUUGUGGAAAGAUUAUCGCUCAACGGAUAAAAGGUACUCCGGGGAUAACAGGCUGAUGACUCCUAAGAGCUCCUAUCGACGGAGUCGUUUGGCACCUCGAUGUCGACUCAUCACAUCCUGGAGCUGAAGAAGGUUCCAAGGGUUCGGCUGUUCGCCGAUUAAAGUGGUACGUGAGUUGGGUUUAGAACGUCGUGAGACAGUUUGGUUCCUAUCUUCUAUAGAUAUUUUGAAAAAUGAAAGAAUCUAACUCUAGUACGAGAGGACCGAGAAGGGUAAAUCUCUGGUGUAUCGGUUGUUGAAAGGCAUCGCCGAGUAGCUAAAUUUAUUUUGGAUAAUUACUGAAAGCAUCUAAGUAAGAAACCAUUCUUAAAAAUUUUUCAUAUAAAAACUGUAAAAGACGAUUACAUUGAUAGGUUUUAAGUGCAAGUAUUGUAAAAUAUUUAGCUUAAAAAUACUAAAAGUUUUAAAAAUUAAAAUAU